rnacentral:rRNA from 1 species
GAUGAACGCUGGCGGCGUGCCUAAUACAUGCAAGUCGAGCGAACGGACGAGAAGCUUGCUUCUCUGAUGUUAGCGGCGGACGGGUGAGUAAAACGUGGAUAACCUACCUAUAAGACUGGGAUAACUUCGGGAAACCGGAGCUAAUACCGGAUAAUAUUUUGAACCGCAUGGUUCAAAAGUGAAAAACGGUCUUUCUGUCACUUAUAGAUGGAUCCGCGCUGCAUUAGCUAGUUGGUAAGGUAACGGCUUACCAAGGCAACGAUGCAUAGCCGACCUGAGAGGGUGAUCGGCCACACUGGAACUGAGACACGGUCCAGACUCCUACGGGAGGCAGCAGUAGGGAAUCUUCCGCAAUGGGCGAAAGCCUGACGGAGCAACGCCGCGUGAGUGAUGAAGGUCUUCGGAUCGUAAAACUCUGUUAUUAGGGAAGAACAUAUGUGUAAGUAACUGUGCACAUCUUGACGGUACCUAAUCAGAAAGCCACGGCUAACUACGUG